CGUCCACGUCCCCCAGCUCCUCCGCCAGCGUGCACUCCGACCUGUCGCUGCCGGCCACCUCUCCAACACGCUACUCCCGGUAGUACAACUAUUGGGGGAAGUCAAUGAGCAAUGCAUGUUCUCAUGUACACAAACUUGCUAAUAUUAAGAAGUUAUGAGCCCCAUUUGCGUCGAGGCUCCUGAGUCCAUCAUCGACGAGCCGCUGCUGCUUGGCCUGACCAUGCUUACCUGUGCUGGAGCGCAUCAACCCUGGCCAUGUACCGCACGGCGUUAGUUUACCAUGCUGCAACCGCAGCGCUCUGCAAUCUCUGUUAUAGAUAAGUCUUUGGUCUCUCCUAUUCUCUUCGUUACUUGGUAGAUAUGCCAUGCUCUUAAUAUCUGGUUUAGUCUCUCUCAUGUUAAUUUAUGGUCAAGGUUGCACAUGUUAAUAUCUGUUUGGAGUCUAUGAUGAUUUAAAUGAUAUUGAUCUCUGUCAAUUCUAGUUAGUAAAUAACAUAUAUCUUGUUGCAGAUCAUAUGCUAAUUAACUCUGUAAAUUCUAGUUAGUAAAUAACAUAUAUCUUGUUAUGGAUCAUAUGCAAAUUAGCAAGGGUAUUCUCAUAGCUCAUUCGCGGUUGCUCACGUGUACUAUUUGCUGCCAUGACAUAUAGGUUUUGUAAUAGUCACUCUAAAGCAGAUUUAUUCAUGCUUUUCUACAGGUUUCCAUGAUGGAGCAUGAUUUUUACCUAGGAAGAAUACUCACUGGGUGUCUAACCUCCGGAGUUAUCCAUGUAGGCGACAAAGUUCAUGGUCUGCGCAACACAGAUAAAGGGAUUCAGAACAUUGAGGAUGGAAAGGUUGUCAAGCUCAUGGAAAAAAGAAAGGCACAAGCAUUACAGUAAUAGAAGCUGCUGGAGCUGGAGAUGUAAUUUCAAUGGCUAGAUUGUCUGGUCCAGCUAUCGGACACAUUGUGCCAAUUCUGGAGGAAGGGAUAACUAAUAACUCUAUGCUUUGCUACUUGUUGCUGAAGCUGAACACUUUUUCCUUUUCAAUUGUCAGCAAUUUCUUAGUUUUUACAUGUGAAUGUUAUUUGUAGGUUUUGACUGCUCUACCAGCAGUUGAGUUGGAACCCUCCCACAAUAUCUAUGACUUUCGGUGUGAAUGAUUCAACACUGAGUGGCCAUGAUGGCACUCAUCGGUGGAGUGGAUGGGUUGGACCGACAUAUGCAAGUUAUUGGAGCAGUACGCCCGUCAAGUGGCACCUUCUUUUGCUCCAGUCACCUCCGGCAUUGUCUAAGUCCUGUUCUGAUUCCUCUUGCGUGAAUUCUACUUUGAUGUUCAUCCCUAGCUGCAACUUUUAUUUUAGAAUAAAUAGACCCGUUUUGUGUUCUUAAUAGAUGAUGAGUGUAUUACAUUUUUUGAAGGCAAAUAUACAAGUUGUUUUUAGAUGAGUUGUCGGACUACCAUUUAAGGGCACAAGUUUGUCAAAUAUGAUGAUGCUUGUAUUCAAAUGAGUUAUUCUUUA